AAAACGGUGAGAUUUUGUUUU
rnacentral:miRNA from 2 species